AAUGUUUUGCCACCGGGUAAAGCUUUUAAGGUGUUCUGAAAUAUUCCAUUAGGUCUUAGAAGGAAUAUUUUUAGAACAUCUUUUUUAG
rnacentral:ncRNA from 1 species